GUCCACGCUGUAAACGAUGAGCACUAGGUGUGGGGAGUGUUAAACUGUCCGUGCCGAAGCCAACGCGUUAAGUGCUCCGCCUGGGGAGUACGGCCGCAAGGCUAAAACUCAAAGGAAUUGACGGGGCCCGCACAAGCAGCGGAGCGUGUGGUUUAAUUCGAUGCGACGCGAAGAACCUUACCUGGGUUUGACAUGCACGUAGUAGUGAAGCGAAAGCGGAACGACCCUUCGGGGAGCGUGCACAGGUGUUGCAUGGCUGUCGU
rnacentral:rRNA from 1 species